UAAGCCCGGGCUUUUGAUACGC
rnacentral:siRNA from 1 species